AACAAUGCUAAUUUUAUCUGAAAAAUACAUGUACCUCAAUAAUUUUAUCAAGGGCAUGUUUUGUGCUAGAUACUACUCUUUAUGUUAGGAAUAUAAGCAAUUGUAUAAGAUACUUACAGAUUGCAGUAAGUGGUAAAAAAUAUAACAUGAAGAGGGAAUAGUGAUGAGAAGGUAACUAUAUAGGGGAGUGGUCAGGGAGUGCUUCACUGAAGAUGUAAAAUAUGAACUGAAACCUAUAUCCUGAUUUAAAAUAGCUUUGCAGAUGUUUUAGGUAAAUAGCAGCAAGCGAACAAUACCAAAGUAGAAUGACUCCUGCCUGCUACAUUUCCCCAGAUACCCAGGACCUUCAUGCUGUCACUCUCCAUGACCUGACCAACAUCUAUUUUGAGAAAUUAUUUUAUAUACUCAUUCAAACAGGUUACUUAUUGGUUAUUUAGAAAUUCUGGAUAAAGACUCACAAGUCAAGCGGGG
rnacentral:lncRNA from 1 species